AUGGACGACAUCACCGCCACGUCGUGCCGCUGCAGCAGCGUGGUGUUCGUGGGCAACAUCCCGUACCAGGCGAGCGGGGAGGAGCUCCGGGACGCGUGCGAGGAGAUCGGCCCCGUGGUUUCCCUCCGCGUGGCCGCCGACAAGGGCACCGGCAGGCCCCGCGGCUUCGCCUUCUGCGAGUACCUCGACGACGAGACGGCCCGCAGCGCCUGCCGCAACCUGCACGGCCACCCGCUCCACGGUCGCGCGCUCCGCGUCGGCAUCGCCGCACCGGAGCAGCAGCAAGGGUGCCGACGCGUCGGCGGCGACGACCCGAGCCUGCCCGUGGGCGUGGAGGGCGCCGCGCACGCCGCGUCGCAGGUGUCCGGGACGCCCAGCGCCGCCGUGACGAGGUACCUGGCGGGGCUGAGCCGGCGCCAGCUGCGUGAGUUCCUCGACGCCGUGGCGAUGGAGCCCGCGGAGUCCGUGGAGCGGGCGAAGCGGGAGUUCAGAGGGCUCGCGACGUUAAUCGAGCAGGCGGGGAUACUGCUCGACAUGGCGGCCGCAAGCGACGCCGGUGCGGCUGGUAAGCGCCCUGGCGGUCUGCCGGAGUCGGGGCGGGGUGCACCGCCGAAGGUGAGAAAGUUGGACGAUGGCACGUCAGUUGCUUGGACCGUUGCAGGCGUUGUUGCAUGCCGCUGA
rnacentral:rRNA from 1 species